UCGGCCCUAUUCGAAAAAUGCAAUACGGAAAAGAUAUGAGAUCGUUAAGUUCUGGUUUAGAUAUAGAUAAGUUCUCAAUUAGAUAUCGUUUGUAUGUGGUAUAAUUGACAGAAGCUGCACGAUUCGGAUGACCAAUGUCACUUUGACGUUAGAAUAUCUUUGAAAGAUCUUAGUCAGUGUUGCCAGAUGGGUUUUGCGUUCCGUUACGUGCACCUCUUAAAAAUAGUACGCAAAUUCAAGUUGAGUACGCAGUAUAAAAUUUACGGUGCGUUCCUAAAUAAUAUUAAUCGGAAAACCACCGAAUUUUAUCGCUACUAUAAAAAUGUUGAAAAUAGAACUUCACAUAUUUCGAUAAAAUAUUUCUUGUUUAAGGAGACUCAAUUCAAUGCAAAUUUGCCAACGGUGGCGUUUCGAAAUGUAAUACCGUCGCGGCGUCUGUCAUACUUCGGUCUACUUAAACACGCUGCACGCUGCUGCGACGCGUCAGGGCCUACCGCGAACCACGUUCGACGUGUUGCCUCUCUGUCGCACUUAUAAAUUCGUACGUAAGUAUGACAGGGAGGCAACACGUCGAACGUGGUUCACGGUAGGCCCUCUGUUCUGUGAUUGUUAGGCAAACACAAACAUUUUUUUUUACAACGGACGCCCACGAGUAUUCCUCUGCGUUGAAGUCAUUGUUGAAGUUUGAAAACUCAUAAAGUUUUGUUUUGUGAGUGAAACCGUGAAUAAUACUAAAUAAAAAUGUGUGACAGUGAUCACAGUGAUGAAAAUAUGUUGCCCACUACUCCUCAGGAAAUAUUAAAGCCUUUUCCGUUUAUGUUGUUCCGUUGUUUGCUAUUUUGACAACUUGAAAAGUUUUAUCGGCAGUUUGCGUGUUAUUACUGUGAAGUGUUUGGCCAAACCGCCGCUACCACUUUUGAAAGGAUGCCACCCAAAAAUCCAAAAAUUCGCUCGAACGCAGCACAAAUUAGAUUGCUCGUUGAAUACAUGUCACAGCACACCCGGUUCGCCAACCGGGAAUUUGACGGGCCUCUAAGGACCCCAGAGGUACGAGGCGCAAUGGGAGGCCCUUGCACAGGCCUUAAGGGAGCACGGGCCCAAUAAGUCAGUGCAGGCAUGGAAAGUGGUGGGCACCUGCUCCCCGCUGGCGACACCCUUGCAGAAGCUAGCAUUUUCAGAUAUAUUUACUUUUUAAGUUUUUGGUUUGGUUUAACCGGAAUUAUUUUUACCCGACUAUGAGAAUGGGAAGGGUUAUGAUUUUAGCAGUCUACGUAUGGAUGCCGUAUAUAUGCCGGUAUGUUUUUGUUGUGUAUAAAUUACUAAUCAAUUUUGGUGAAUGAGGUGUUUAUAGGUUCAUUUUUAUGGGGUGACAUAGACUACAUAAUAAUAUUUAACUGACUUUGGACAAGGAAGAGGUGCUAUAGUUAAGAAAAAAAUCAUAGUCGGGUAAAAGUUUUUACAAUCUUUUGCUUGUUUUCAUUCUUAUAACAAAUAUUUUAAACUUGCAUGUGCUCAUUGCCUCAGAUUGACGACUACGUUGAGUUUUCGGGUGCUGGGAACAGUGUGGCUGGCAGCACGUUUUCUGCCACUGCUGAAAAUCUCGUUGUUGUUCCAACAACCGCCACCGUUACUGCGGCCUUGCUCAGCGAACAACCCCACUUCUCCACCUCUCAUUUGUCCUCGUCUCCCUCUCCUUCUGCCAGCCCUAUACGCUCCACGCAUUCAGUACUGCCCACAAGUCCUGGACUACCCGAACGUCCCUCCCUUGCCGCCCUUUCCGCCCGCUAUGCCCGUCCCGCCCUUCUCGCUCGUUCCGCAAUAACCGCCCAACCCGCACGUCUUGUCCUGCCUGCACGUCAAGUACACAGCUCUGUGUACGUGGAUCCGCGCCCUGCACGCGUAUCCACGUACACAGAGCUGUGUACUUGCCCCGCAACCGCACGACGGAACCGGCACCUUCGACAGCACAAUUUAAUCAUCUGCAGCAUGAGCAUGAUAAUAUUUUAAGAGUAAUUAAUUAAUUUAUGAACUAAUAAUUCUGUUUUAAGAUCAGGUUGAGUACGAGAAACAUUGUUUAUUUAACUUGGGACAAGAAAAACAGUAACUUGGCAGUAAGAAUGCAUACAUAAAGCCUGUAAGCUCCAUACUUGACGUACCAUUCCCUACAAGUGUUUCUCUUGCCUCCAUAUUUCGCUUACCCCAUCUGACCUUAUUUGUAUUGAUAAAACAUACAAAUAAUAAAUAUAUAUAUACGCGAGCAAUCGCAAAAUCUACAUUUCGGGAUUUCUCGUAUCGUACAGUGCCGUUUAAAUAAAAUAACACCACCAACUACCCAUAAGAGGGUUAUUAUGAAACUUAUAAUUAACAUGCAUUUUAUUGAAAGGCUGGAAUUUUAUUUAUCUUGAAAUCUUGACCAUGGUCAUAUGUUUGACUGGACGGUACACGGCAAUGUUAUUAUUACUAAUAUAUUUCAUAACACUAGACUUAUUCAAUCCUAAGUAACCUAUUAGCUUCUCAUUCGUGUGCGGUAUAUAUCAGCGUUUGGUAGUAUCAUAAUAGUCAAAUCUGGUGUUGGUUGUUGUUAAUAGUUAAAUGUUCAUAAAAUUUGACAACUUAUUAUAGUUAUAUUUUGUGUGAGUCAGUUAUCAUAACAGAAAUAAGAUAUAAAGCUGUUAAUACCGUAAAUUGUGUAUGGAUAUGUUUGACUCAAAUUCUGUAUUCCCACAAUAAGUAGGUAUACGGGGAGCCCGUAAGAAAUCAGUGGUAUAUGAAGGCUUUCUUGUGCAACUUUAGUAUGAGCUGGAACAAGUAAAUGUAGUUAUGUAGAACAGAUAAUCUCCAUUGUGGUAGAUGGCGCUAUUUAUUAUGUGCUCUGUGAUACCACUUAGUUUAAACUUGCUAUAACAUAUUUUAUGUUGACAGGAUAUCCUGAACGAACUGAAAAUUUUUAAUGAGGCGCAGAAACAAAAAUGGAGUGUUUUGAAGGAGGGGCACGACUUGUUGGCGAAUCGUAUUAACACAUUGGAGGACACCGAGAUUAUUGAGAACUUGGAAGACACAGUUAUAAUGGAAGAGGAAGACGUCUGAGCUAAGCGCUGUCCUCGCACCCUCCGUCUAGUUUACGUUUGCGGCCAUAUCAAAAAUACACACCGUAUGUUUAUUAGGGUUCCGUACCAAAAAGGUACAAAAGGAACCCUUAUGGUGCUAUUGCUAAAUAUCUCGAGAAGUACUUAAGCUAUCGAUGUGAAAUUUGGAAUAGUAAUGAAUAACGCUGACCCAAACAUAUUGGAUGUGUAUUUAUUUUAUUUUAUUUGUAAGUAUUAAUAAUGGAAAAUUCCCAAUAUGAAGAGGGGGUAAAAUUGCAAAGUCUAGUUAAAUAGGUCAAGUGGGGUAUCAUUUGAAAGAGCUCAAAUUGAAAAUUACAAAACAAUUUUUUAUUUUCAUUGUGAAAAAAAAAUUUACGUAUGAAGGAAAAUGUGAAAAUAAUACCAUCCUCCCCCCCCUCUCUCAUCUCCGAAGUUUAAGAAUAAAAAUUGUUUUUUUUUACAUUGGUCAAGUCUUUCAUGAGAAAAUUUGAAGUUUGUACGGAACCCUCGGUGUGCGAGGUAAACGAACUCGCACUUGACCGGUUAUUCUUAUUGCCCAUAAGGCCCGUCCUUAGAUAUAUGUCAAUGAUUACGGUGAUCUCGAAAAUGGCUCAAAUGAUUUCAAUUAAAUUUGCUAUAUGGGGGUUUUCGGGGCGUUUUUGAGUUUUUACCUAUUUGUUUUCCGAGCAAAAGGAAUUAAAGUUUACUGAUUUUGAAAA